rnacentral:rRNA from 1 species
GACGAACGCUGGCGGCUUUCUUAACACAUGCAAGUCGAACGGAAAGGCCUCUUUCGGGGGGUACUCGAGUGGCGAACGGGUGAGUAACACGUGAGUAACCUGCCCUUGACUUUGGGAUAACUUCAGGAAACUGGGGCUAAUACCGGAUAGGAGCUCCUGCUGCAUGGUGGGGGUUGGAAAGUUUCGGCGGUUGGGGAUGGACUCGCGGCUUAUCAGCUUGUUGGUGGGGUAGUGGCUUACCAAGGCUUUGACGGGUAGCCGGCCUGAGAGGGUGACCGGCCUAAUUGGGACUGAGAUACGGCCCAGACUCCGACGGGAGGAAGGAGGGGGGAAGAUUGAACAAUGGGUGGAAGCCGGAUGAAGCAACGCCGUGUGCGGGAUGAAGGACAUAGGGGUGGAAACCGCUUUCGCUCAUGACGAAGCUUUGUGUGACGGUAGUGGGUAAAGAAGCAAAGGCUAAAUACGUG